rnacentral:piRNA from 1 species
CAAUAAUUGAUGGAAUGAUUAUU